rnacentral:rRNA from 1 species
UACGUAGGGGGCAAGCGUUGUCCGGAUUUAUUGGGCGUAAAGAGCGUGUAGGCGGUUUGGUAGGUCCGCUGUGAAAACUCGAGGCUCAACCUCGAGACGCCGGUGGAAACCAUCAGGCUAGAGUCCGGAAGAGGAGAGUGGAAUUCCUGGUGUAGCGGUGAAAUGCGCAGAUAUCAGGAAGAACACCGGUGGCGAAGGCGGUUCUCUGGGCAUUACCUGACGCUGAGGAGCGAAAGUGUGGGGAGCGAACAGG